rnacentral:lncRNA from 1 species
GGGAGUGGAGAGGUCCAUAAAAUGGUGGUGAGCAUAGGAUGGAAUCCAUACUACAAGAAUGUGAAGAAGUCCAUGCAAACCCAUAUCAUCCAUACCUUCAAAGAGGACUUUUAUGGGGAGAUUCUCAAUGUGGCCAUUGUUGGCUACCUCAGACCUGAAAAGAACUUUGAUUCUUUAGAGUCACUUAUUUCUGCGAUUCAAGGUGAUAUUGAAGAAGCUAAAAAACAACUGGAUUUACCAGAACAUUUGAAACUCAAAGAUGACAAUUUCUCCCAAGUUUUUAAAAGCAAAAUUAUGAAUGGCCACUGAUGAAAAGUCUCGUACCUGUCCACCCACUAGUGUCUUAGUGCUUCUGAUACAGUCUCAUCUUGAUCAUAGUUUAAAUCAAGUGUUUCCUUGUAGCUGUCAAGAGGUCUCCAGCAGUUAACUCCAUCAUGUUGCAUAGAAAAAGAUUCAUUCAGAAAUCAAGGCUUUAAAUGUAAUGUGUUGAUUAAAAUGUAGCACUAGAAAGCUAGUGUCUUGUAAUGAAAAUAAAGUCUGUGAGUGUGGGUGGAAAAGCAAGUUACUAAGGAAAAUGAGGACUGGCCAUAGUUCCUGUGACCAUGUGUGCUGGCACUGGCAAGCCUGACAAGCAUGUACUGCUGAACAGACGCUUUCCAGGAAACGCACCACUUACACAGCUUAGCCAAGGAGGGAAAUCUAGAGUUACUUUUAUUAUUUUGUGCAUUAAUAUAUUUUUACAGUCCUUCAAACUUUCAUGAGCCGUGAGUCACUCAUUCCUUAUGCGGUCACUUCCUGGUAGUGUCCUAAUGCUCUGUGUGGAGUUAACUUCAGGUUGAAGUGCCCUUGAUGGCCCCGCACCAGGGCUUUUCUGCACAGUACUGAGGAUCCAACCCAGUGCCUUACAUGGUAGGCAAGUGUGACCACUGAGCAAGGCUCCUGGCCCCCUUUACUUUUUUAAGCCAUAUGACGUCUAUGUGUCACCUUUUUGAAGAAUAGAUGUUUUUGCUCUUUUUAUGACUUUGGUUUAUUUUCUUCCCAUUUGGCAUAUCCGACAACCAUGUGGCGUAGAGACUGCUUGUGGGUGUGCCGUUCUGCUCAAAACUAAGUGGUGGUCAGGUGCAAGUAUGCUUUGUGUUUUAAGAAAAAUAAAAGAAGCUGUAUUUAUAGACUUGCUUGGAAUUGAAACGGACCCAGCCAGUUCCUACCCAACCCAGCUCUGACUUUUUUUUUUUUUUUAACAGUGUGGUCCUAUGUUUUCAAAGUAAAAAUAGUUCUCUAUGACCAAGUACUUAAAUAUAAUUUAAUACUCAUCUAAAGCCUUUGCAGCUUCAGAAGUGGAGAAAGUUUUAGCCGCGUAUCUUUAUAUCUCCUGGUUUCUCACUGAAUUGGCUUGAGUUGCCUAUGCUGGCAGAAGGUUGACAUUGGGCAACCAAUUGCUUUGGGCUCAUCAGGGCGUUGAAUUAGUUGUUGAAUGGCGAGAGAUUUGCUGGGGCAGCCCUGUGAAUGUGUUCUAUGACUGAGCAACCUCCUUAGCCUUCAAAAUAGAAUUUUUGAUGUUGGAAAUUCCAUACUAAAAGGAAGCCUUAAGUAAGAAUAGCUUGUUAAUUAUGUCCUCAUUAAGUAAUGUUCAUGGCUAAUGUCACAUUGUUAACAGUUGUUACUUUGGAAUUAUAUGGUAUGUGGUUUAGGGCUUAGUUAAUUCUCUAGACUUCAAAAACUGUAUUAUUGAUGUAUUAUAAGAAAUUACAGUACCACUUUGAUUAGUCUGAAUGUUUGCAGACCUUGGAAUAAAGUUUGACUGUUAUUUUUUUUUUAAAAAAAGAUAA